UACGUAGGUGGCAAGCGUUGUCCGGAUUUACUGGGCGUAAAGCGUAUGCAGGCGGGCUCUUAAGUAGGAAGUGAAAGGUUGGAGCUUAACUCUAACACUGCUCCCUAUACUGGGAUUCUUGAGUGCCGGAGAGGAAGACGGAACGACACGUGUAGCGGUGAAAUGCGUUGAGAUGUGUCGGAACACCAAUGGCGAAAGCAGUCUUCUGGACGGAUACUGACGCUGAGAUACGAAAGCCAAGGUAGCAAACAGG
rnacentral:rRNA from 1 species